UGAGCGAGUGAUCCGUGCGGCUCCCCGCGGUCAGCCCCGCGCCCCACGCCGCCGCGACCACACCUGCAAACCACCACCCACACCUGUUGUGGCUACACCGACGCCCACCGGGAACCAUCCACCACUUCUGACCGUACCCUCAACAAGAGCAGAGAUCGUCGGUGACCACAACACCUGCACAUCAACAAGUCGGGACGGGUUGGGGAUGGCAGAGGAGCAACAAGACCAGCAUCGUCAUCUACGUCAUGUCACGACCAACUGUGUACACCUUAAAACUCAAGUCUAUAUAGUUCAGUGUUAAGUUUGAGGAGGAACUGGUGCGUGAAACACACCCUCCUCCUCCGCCACACACACACACACACACCUCAGUCUCACGGCCGGCAGCUUCUCCAACGAAGGAUUUGUGGCCUUCUCUCCCCCCUCACCUCCCCUCAUCCUUUCCCUCUCAAGUCCAUCCACCCGGUUAUUUAAACACACUCACACCAUUCCUGGAUACACUCACAACACACUCGAACCAACUCGUUCCGCUAAAAGGUAUAAUUCUUAGAGAUAAAAUACACUGGGUGGUAGCAGCUCUUUUUCACGCUUGACUCCCCAGCCCACCAGAUCAGCUGAUAGAUUUGGCGGGAGAAAAAAAAAAAGGCUACCAGAGUACAAGUGUGGA